UUGAACGCUGGCGGCAUGCUUUACACAUGCAAGUCGAACGGUAACAGGCCGCAAGGUGCUGACGAGUGGCGAACGGGUGAGUAAUGCAUCGGAACGUGCCCAGUCGUGGGGGAUAACGCAGCGAAAGCUGUGCUAAUACCGCAUACGAUCUAAGGAUGAAAGCGGGGGACCGAAAGGCCUCGCGCGAUUGGAGCGGCCGAUGUCAGAUUAGCUAGUUGGUGGGGUAAAGGCCCACCAAGGCAACGAUCUGUAGCUGGUCUGAGAGGACGACCAGCCACACUGGGACUGAGACACGGCCCAGACUCCUACGGGAGGCAGCAGUGGGGAAUUUUGGACAAUGGGCGCAAGCCUGAUCCAGCCAUUCCGCGUGAGUGAAGAAGGCCUUCGGGUUGUAAAGCUCUUUCGGCAGGGAAGAAACGGUUUGGGCUAAUACCCUGAGCUAAUGACGGUACCUGAAGAAGAAGCACCGGCUAACUACGU
rnacentral:rRNA from 1 species